ensembl:lincRNA uncharacterized LOC110327230
GGGGUUCUCUGGCUUUUUCACUUGGCUGGCUGCAGUUUCAUGGCUCUGACCUCAGAUCUCUAGCUGUUUCACUGUCAGAAUACCUAACUCCCCAGUUGCCUCUCCUCUGUCUUGUCUGACAGCUUUUUUAAGAACUACUCUUUUUUGGGGGGCGGGGCAACCCUCUGCUCCUGUCCCAGUGACCUCAGUGGUAUCCUAGAUGAUCUCUUCUCAACCAAGAUCUCACACCAUUUCCAAGCUGGAUGAGAGAUGGGUGAUUCUGGAGAGUGCUCAGUCCACCCCAGUAUCUUCACCAGAGCCUUCUACUUUGUUGACUGGAUCUGGCUCAUCAAGGGCUGAGGAAGUCCUUCAGGCAGAAUGAGGAAGAUACAUAGAUGGGCCAUCUGGAUAAGGAAAAGAGGAAGAAGAUUUGAGAUAAUAAAUGGAUAGCUGUCAUGGACUUUCCUCUUCUCCAGAACCAAGACCUACCACCUUUUCAGAGAACAAGUUCAUUCUGGCUGGAGCUACAACACCUGGUCCCUUUCUUUGUGACCUGCCCUGGAAGACACGUCGGCAGAGCUGAGUGAGGCUCCCUGUCUGGCUGCUGUCCUGGCUUGCAGGAUCUGGGAACACAUACCCAGAAACAACUCCCCAUCCAUGUGCCCUGCCCUUCAAAGUCUCACCUUCCUCACAUGCUUCUCAGAGAGCACAUACUUCAAGAAAACCAAAGGAAGAAAAAUAUUGUUCCAAGAGUUUUGGAAUUGACCUCUGGCUACAAAGAGCGUUGUGACUGGUUUACAAAGUUAUACGAUUCUCUGACAAAACUCUUUGUGACCAGAGCAACUACUUAAGAGUCUGUUACAAGGUGCACAGUGUAUUCUCUCUGUGAGCUUACAUCUGUGGGCUCCACAAAGGGCAUGCAUGCCAAAAGCCUGGGUAUGUGGUAGUUCCCAGUGACUGAAUCUUCUCCCAUUGGAAAAGGGAGGAACAGAAGAAAAGUCAGGGAAAUAGUCUAUGAGCUGGCUAGGUUUGAGUGCCCAUCAUUCUCUUGGGUAAAAGGCCAAAGGAAUGAGGGACAUGUCCCAAGAAGUAUGGCUGGAGCCAUGCCACAAAGUCAUACAGCCUCUUGGUGCACAGCUCUGUGCAUCUCCAAGACUCAGUCAGUAUUACAUUGACUGAUUCACUUGGUUUGUCCCCACCAAGACUCCCCAACACAGUGAAAGUGAGCAUAUGCCUUUCCUAGAUUGGCUUCAUUAUGGACUGGAGCCUUGACUUAGUAGUCACCUCCAGCCCAAAUCUGCUCUGCCCUUGUUUCCCACAGCAGGACUUGUGGGACUCACUUGGUGGUCAUGAUUGUAGAUCGUGAUGCACAAUGCAGUGAUUGGCUCACAACAGCUCAGCCUUCUUGCCACAUGGGAACUUCCUUCAAUAUGACCUGAUGCUCAACCACAUUUUGGGACAACAGAUGCCAGACCCUUUCCCAAAGCCCAGCCUCGCCAGUCUCUCAGCCAUCUUUCGGUCUUCAAUAAGGAAAUACCAAUGGUACCUGGCUGUCUUGGAGGCUGACUGCAGCCGCCCCAUGUUUCCCUCCUCUAAACUCAGACCAUUGUCAAGUCAAAAGCAUAGAUCAGAAACUUGUCUUCUACCAUGAGCCAGUACUGAAGUCAAUAUCCUGACAGCAGUGUGGCCACAGAGAUUAGCCCCCAGCUGUCACCCAAAGGUGUAACUCUGCUCAUUCCGGGAGCAUCACUUGACUGCAUGCCACCCAGGAAACCUGCAAGCUCCUCCCUGAUUAGGACCUUGCAAAGAUCUUACUGGCUGCCAGCCCUAGGGUCAUCAUUGGGGCUUCAAUCUAAUAUGCAUGAUAUUUCCUUCUGGGCCAAAGGGAAGUACCAGGAAUCCCUCUGUGGGAGCUUAGGAGCGGAGGAGAUGACAUCAUAUGAGGCUGGAGUAAGGAGGCUGUGGAGACAAUGACAGAGCUGCUGAAGCCUGGGUCAGGCAAGGGGAGGAGGAUGAGAUGGCUCUGGGAUUCCCUUCGCCCUACUGGGGACACCUUGUGGCUCCAUCUUGUCCCCAGGCGUAGAUUUAAAAGGCAGCAUCCCACAUUUUCUCUUUGGUAUAAGCUGGGCUUCCACUGGGAACAGGCUCUCUCCUCUUUGUGGCCCUGCACCCUCCAACUCUGCUCUACAGGGGAAGUGUUGGCCCUGUUCCUGCUAGUUCAAGGCCCCUGCCCCUAGCCAGUGCAUGCAUCCUUUUUUCCUUAUCUUGGUGACUAGAAUUUCCCCUCAGACUGUCUUCCUUCUGGCUUCACCCUGCUUGAUGCCUUUCUCUCCCCUUCCCUCUUCUCUCUUUCACAUUGUCCCACUUCCCCUCCCCCUUUUCUUGUUGCCACUCUUCCUCCUCCUGGGCAUACAGUUUCUAUACAACUCAUCAGGGAUACUGUUGGUGUGGAAGAGGGGACUAGCUGGUAAACACUCUGAACUCUGUGGGACUCAUCUUUGUGUGAGUGUUCAGUCACACACAUAGAACCUAGAGGGUUGGUCCUUACGGUGGAAGCCAUGCGGAUCUCUCUCCAGAACUUGAUGCUUGGGUCACAGUGAACUGAAAGAUGGUGGGGGCUAUUAGCUCAAACCUUGCUGUUAGAGGAGGGGGAAUAGGAGCUUGUGUCAUGUUUCUUGUUGGUGUGUGGUGGUUGACAGUUGUUUGGGCACACUGCCUUAAAAGUUCUAGACUGCAUCCUGUGGUUCUCAGUCCGUACCAGGUAGAAACCAGCUCCAAUGUUUAACAAGUAGAUAUGGGAGUCUGUUCUUCAGUCCUUGAACGAAGAUGAAAAGUGCAGUCAGUGAUUGAGAUCAGACGAAUCUCAGCGCCAACCUAGCUCCACUGUGGCAUGGCUCACUCCUUUGAUUUCGCCCUUCUGAUCUGUGCACCCCAGACCAAGCCCUCCUCCCUCCUUCACAGACUCUGGUCCGAACUGCUAUCUGUUUCUGGCUCAACUUUCCCAGAUAAGGGGGGUGCUUAAAGGUUCAUAUUCUAUAAAUGGAUGCAGUCUGCCAACGGCAGAACACAUUUACAAAGCAAAGGGAAUACAACACAGAAGUAAAUCUUGGUGGCCAUGCCUACCAGGUUUCCUGUGGGACUCAAUUUUUUUCUUAUUUUGUAGCCCCUCCCCCAGGGUGUGUGCAUCUUUUCUUUGGGGUAAGGAAGCAACAACAUAAACUGCGAAACAGGUGAAGAAUCAAUCCCCAUACCUACUUGUACCCCUUCUUCAGUUGAUUUUUGAUUGUGGAUGCACCCUCGGGCUGGUUACUGCUGCUGAAAGGAUCAGGUGAUGGCAGGCAAGUUGUCCCCUGUGCUGCCUGUUCCUUUCUUUUUCAACAACAACUUGCAGUUUUCUAGAUGAGAUAGUGGUAGGAAGUGGUAGGAAGGCAGGUUCCCUCCUCCUCCUCCUCCUCAUGGGAAGAGGGAGAGUAGAAGGACCUGCGGGGCUUAUGUUUGAAUGGAUGUUUGCAAGUUUCCAUAUUUGCUGAUAGAGGUAGCCAUUAUUGAAUUGAUGGUAGAUUAUAUUGUAAGUAGCCAUGAUAUCAUUAUGCCUUUUCUUCCUUACAGAUUCUAUGAUUUCUUAAACCUUGUAGUCAAAGCAAUGGCAUAGUUAACAUCGUGUCCACAGUCUUGGCGACUAGGAUUCUGCAGACUAUUUUCUGGAGGCUCAUGGUGAGGCUUCACACAGUGAGACAGUCAUAGGUAUCUCACUGGCGGCUUGUGUUUGAUAGGCACCUUGGACCUAGGCUCUAUAAUGCAUAGGUAUGAAAUGAACUUUUCUGCAGUUUUUGGU